rnacentral:tRNA from 1 species
GCCUGGCUGGCUCAGUCAAUAGAGCAUGUGACUCUUGAUCUUGAAGUUGUGAGUUCAAGCCCUACGUUGGACA